GCCAGGCAUGGUGGCCCAUGCUUGUAAUCCCAGAAACUCUGGAGGCUGAGGCAGGAGGAUCGAAAUUUCAAAGCACUUGCUGAUUCCUCUGCCAGGUUACCUCAGCAACUUAAUGAGGCCCUAAGCAACUCAGCGAGACCCUGUCUCAA
rnacentral:sRNA from 1 species